UGGGGAAUUUUGGACAAUGGGGGCAACCCUGAUCCAGCAAUGCCGCGUGUGUGAAGAAGGCCUUCGGGUUGUAAAGCACUUUUGUCCGGGAAGAAAUCGCACCUGAUAAUACCGGGUGUGGAUGACGGUACCGGAAGAAUAAGGACCGGCUAACUACGUUCCAGCAGCCGCGGUAAUACGUAGGGUCCAAGCGUUAAUCGGAAUUACUGGGCGUAAAGCGUGCGCAGGCGGUUGUGCAAGACGGAUGUGAAAUCCCCGGGCUUAACCUGGGAAUUGCAUUGGUGACUGCACGGCUAGAGUGUGUCAGAGGGGGGUAGAAGUCCACGUGUAGCAGUGAAAUGAGUAGAGAUGUGGAGGAAUACCGAUGGCGAAGGCAGCCACCUGGUAUAACACUGACGCUCAUGCACGAAAGCGUGGGGAGCAAACAGG
rnacentral:rRNA from 1 species